UUAAGCGACUAAGCGUACACGGUGGAUGCCCUGGCAGUCAGAGGCGAUGAAGGACGUGCUAAUCUGCGAAAAGCGCCGGCGAGGUGAUAUGAACCCUUGACCCGGCGAUGUCCGAAUGGGGAAACCCAGUGCAAUCCGUUGCACUAUCGUUAACUGAAUACAUAGGUUAACGAGGCGAACCGGGGGAACUGAAACAUCUAAGUACCCCGAGGAAAAGAAAUCAACCGAGAUUCCCCCAGUAGCGGCGAGCGAACGGGGAGCAGCCCGGAGUCUGAAUCAGCUUGUGUGUUAGUGGAACGGUCUGGAAAGUCCGACGGUACAGGGUGAUAGUCCCGUACACGAAAGUGCACUUGCUGUGAACUCGAAGAGUAGGGCGGGACACGUGGUAUCCUGUCUGAAUAUGGGGGGACCAUCCUCCAAGGCUAAAUACUCCUGACUGACCGAUAGUGAACCAGUACCGUGAGGGAAAGGCGAAAAGAACCCCGGCGAGGGGAGUGAAAAAGAACCUGAAACCGUGUACGUACAAGCAGUGGGAGCCUCUUUUAUGGGGUGACUGCGUACCUUUUGUAUAAUGGGUCAGCGACUUAUAUUCUGUAGCAAGGUUAACCGUAUAGGGGAGCCGAAGGGAAACCGAGUCUUAACUGGGCGUUAAGUUGCAGGGUAUAGACCCGAAACCCGGUGAUCUAGCCAUGGGCAGGUUGAAGGUUGGGUAACACUAACUGGAGGACCGAACCGACUAAUGUUGAAAAAUUAGCGGAUGACCUGUGGCUGGGGGUGAAAGGCCAAUCAAACCGGGAGAUAGCUGGUUCUCCCCGAAAGCUAUUUAGGUAGCGCCUCGUGAACUCAUCUUCGGGGGUAGAGCACUGUUUCGGCUAGGGGGCCAUCCCGGCUUACCAACCCGAUGCAAACUACGAAUACCGAAGAAUGUUAUCACGGGAGACACACGGCGGGUGCUAACGUCCGUCGUGAAGAGGGAAACAACCCAGACCGCCAGCUAAGGUCCCAAAGUCAUGGUUAAGUGGGAAACGAUGUGGGAAGGCACAGACAGCCAGGAUGUUGGCUUAGAAGCAGCCAUCAUUUAAAGAAAGCGUAAUAGCUCACUGGUCGAGUCGGCCUGCGCGGAAGAUGUAACGGGGCUAAACCAUGCACCGAAGCUGCGGCAGCGACGCUUAUGUGUUGUUGGGUAGGGGAGCGUUCUGUAAGCCGUUGAAGGUGUGCUGUGAGGCAUGCUGGAGGUAUCAGAAGUGCGAAUGCUGACAUAAGUAACGAUAAAGCGGGUGAAAAGCCCGCUCGCCGGAAGACCAAGGGUUCCUGUCCAACGUUAAUCGGGGCAGGGUGAGUCGACCCCUAAGGCGAGGCCGAAAGGCGUAGUCGAUGGGAAACAGGUUAAUAUUCCUGUACUUGGUGUUACUGCGAAGGGGGGACGGAGAAGGCUAUGUCAGCCGGGCGACGGUUGUCCCGGUUUAAGCAUGUAGGCGGAGGUUCCAGGUAAAUCCGGUACCUUGUUAACGCUGAGGUGUGAUGACGAGGCACUACGGUGCUGAAGUGAUAAAUGCCCUGCUUCCAGGAAAAGCCUCUAAGCAUCAGGUAACACGAAAUCGUACCCCAAACCGACACAGGUGGUCAGGUAGAGAAUACCAAGGCGCUUGAGAGAACUCGGGUGAAGGAACUAGGCAAAAUGGUGCCGUAACUUCGGGAGAAGGCACGCUGAUGUGUAGGUGAAGCCCCUGCGGGUGGAGCUGAAAUCAGUCGAAGAUACCAGCUGGCUGCAACUGUUUAUUAAAAACACAGCACUGUGCAAACACGAAAGUGGACGUAUACGGUGUGACGCCUGCCCGGUGCCGGAAGGUUAAUUGAUGGGGUUAGCGGCAACGCGAAGCUCUUGAUCGAAGCCCCGGUAAACGGCGGCCGUAACUAUAACGGUCCUAAGGUAGCGAAAUUCCUUGUCGGGUAAGUUCCGACCUGCACGAAUGGCGUAAUGAUGGCCAGGCUGUCUCCACCCGAGACUCAGUGAAAUUGAACUCGCUGUGAAGAUGCAGUGUACCCGCGGCAAGACGGAAAGACCCCGUGAACCUUUACUAUAGCUUGACACUGAACACUGGUCCUUGAUGUGUAGGAUAGGUGGGAGGCUUUGAAGCGUGGACGCCAGUCUGCGUGGAGCCNUUUGCUCUUUAAAAAUCUGGAUCAAGCUGAAAAUUGAAACGACACACAGCUCAUGUGUGUUCGAGUCUCUCAAAUUUUCGCAAUCAGAAGUGAAACAUCUUCGGGUUGUGAGG
rnacentral:rRNA from 1 species